GAGGCUGUAUCAUACCUGAACGGCACUCCGAAUGAAAGACAUGCUCGAGGUGAAAUCUUUUCGAGUAAAGCACUUGUUGAUGGAGAAUAGUGAUACUUACAAGCUUAUGGACUAAAAUCUGCUCAGAGCCUGUGUGGACCGAGACAGAAGG
rfam:Brevibacillus panacihumi W25 genomic scaffold Scaffold1, whole genome shotgun sequence.